AGCUUCAGCCGGUUCACUCGUUCCGUCAAACGUAGGUGGGUUCUGCCUUAAAAAGAGUUCUUCGACUCUCCUAGUUGGGGGCGGAGGGAGUGGGUUAUGUCCUCGAGCAUCUUGUGGUUCUUCGGGUACAACGUUACGAUUUCUGCGAUUGUUAUUGUUUCUCACAGGGCGUCCUCUCUUAGGCGGCAUUCUGGUAGCAAAGAUGUGCCAAUUAGUAGACUCUAGCAUAAUCUAAUACAAGCCUCAAAAGAAUUCUUGUACAGGUUAACUUAUUCUAACUUGUAAACAAGUCAUAACUCCAAUGACACCAUUGAUGUAGUAAGCUCUAA
rnacentral:lncRNA from 1 species